rnacentral:rRNA from 1 species
UUGCUAAUCUGUCAGCUAAGUGGCGCACGGGUGAGUAAUAUAUAGGUAACGUGCCUUCAAGAGGGGGAUAACAGAUGGAAACGUCUGCUAAGACCCCAUAUGCCUUUAAUACAAAAGUAUGAAAGGGAAAUAUUUAUAGCUUGAAGAUCGGCCUGUACAGUAUCAGAUAGUUGGUGAGGUAAUGGCUCACCAAGGCAAUGACACCUAACUGGUUUGAGAGGAUGAUCAGUCACACUGGAACUGAGACACGGUCCAGACUCCUACGGGAGGCAGCAGUGGGGAAUAUUGCACAAUGGACGAAAGUCUGAUGCAGCAACGCCGCGUGGAGGAUGACACUUUUCGGAGCGUAAACUCCUUUUAUAUAGGAAGAUAAUGACGGUACUAUAUGAAUAAGCACCGGCUAACUCCGUGCCAGCAGCCGCGGUAAUACGGAGGGUGCAAGCGUUAUCCGGAUUUAUUGGGUUUAAAGGGUGCGCAGGCGGAAUGAUAAGUCAGUGGUGAAAUCCUACAGCUCAACCGUAGAACUGCCAUUGAUACUGCAGACUUGAGUGUAUUUGAAGUGGGCGGAAUGUAGCAUGUAGCGGUGAAAUGCAUAGAUAUGCUACAGAACACCAAUUGCGAAGGCAGCUCACUAAACUACAACUGACGCUCAUGCACGAAAGCGUGGGGAGCAAACAGGAUUAGAUACCCUGGUAGUCCACGCCGUAAACGAUGAUUACUCGUUGUUGGCGAUAAACAGUCAGCGACUGAAGCGAAAGCAUUAAGUGAUCCACCUGGGGAGUACGACCGCAAGGUUGAAACUCAAAGGAAUUGACGGGGGCCCGCACAAGCGGUGGAGCAUGUGGUUUAAUUCGAUGAUACGCGAGGAACCUUACCUGGGCUCAAACGCAUGAUGACGUAUGGUGAAAGCUAUAUUUCUUCGGACAUCAUGCGAGGUGCUGCAUGGUUGUCGUCAGCUCGUGCCGUGAGGUGUCGGGUUAAGUCCCAUAACGAGCGCAACCCCUAUUCUUAGUUGCCAUCAGAUAAUGCUGGGGACUCUAAGGAAACUGCCUACGCAAGUAGUGAGGAAGGUGGGGAUGACGUCAAAUCAGCACGGCCCUUAUGUCCAGGGCUACACACGUGCUACAAUGGUCGGUACAGAGGGCUGCUACCUGGUGACAGGAUGCUAAUCUCAAAAACCGAUCUCAGUUCGGAUCGAAGUCUGCAACUCGACUUCGUGAAGCUGGAAUCGCUAGUAAUCGCGCAUCAGCCAUGGCGCGGUGAAUACGUUCCCGGGCCUUGUACACACCGCCCGUCAAGCCAUGGAAG